GCCCUGAGGACACAUGUUGCCCCACACUGCUUCUGGAGGGGCCCCAGAGCAUCUGCCUGCUUCAGCCGGAGACUCUAGACACUCAGGAACAAUGCAUCACCUUUGACAGAGUUCUGGGCUCUGAUGCUGCUCAGGAGGCUGAGCAGGAGCUGCUAGCACGAGUCCAGUCCACACUAGGCUUGGUGGCCCGAGGGUACAGUGUGUCCCUACUGCUUCGGGG